rnacentral:lncRNA from 1 species
GGGAUUUCCAACUCAGGGAAUUUUCUAUCAGCUUGGACUCAUACUGUGGAACCAAGGCCAAGGGUAUGGCAGCUCCAGUCUGUCCUGGUGCUGAUCUCAUAGAUGGAGGCCUCUGUAUCCUUCUACAGGGACAGAGGGGUGUCCUAUUUGGGAAGGCUGCAGCCUCCAAGUUACAGAGGAGGGCACCAGUAUAUAGAAACUGACCCAGGACUUGCAGCUACAGCUUGGUGGUGGCCGGUGGUCCAGCUACAGCAAACCCUGCCUGAAGACAAAUUGUUCAUUGGACCCUUCAGUUACAGAAACCACCCCUGGAGCAAGUGCUGCUUACAGGAGAAGCAGAAGGAGCCCAGGGGCCAGCAAGGGUAGUAACAAAUCCUGGUAUUCCCCACCCUGGGAAAAGCUUUUGGUAUUCAGUUGAAAGACACUGUUGGUGCCGGGCAAGCGGUUACCUAUGUGGAAUUCAAUACCUG